AAAUGUGGUUGCUGAAAAUUUAAAAGUAUACAUGGCUUACAUAUUUCUAUUGGUGCAGAAACUGAGUUUCAAGUAGAUCCAGCAACUUGCCCAAGUCGUAAAACCAGAAAGAGUGGAGCCGAGAAUCAAAGCUUGGAUGCCUGACCAGAGUGGACCUUUGAAACACUCCUCUGUAUAUUGUCUUCAGGCUGCCUGUAUUUACAAACUCUGAUAUUGACCUCAUUACUUCUCCCCGUUCUGCAGGCAGAAGACUGCUAUGAGAGCACUUAGGACCCAAGCGACAUCAGCCUUGGAACAGGCAAAUAAAAAUGGAAAGCUAA
rnacentral:lncRNA from 1 species